CGUUAAAGUUGAUUUCACAGCUGUAAAAUAAUAACAUCCCUGUUACUUGUUGCAGUUUUGCAGCCACUAUCAUGAUGGUUCGCUAAUAGUACAUAAGAAACGAGUAAUCUUUAUGUAACGAGUACUCGAAAAAAUGGAAUUUCAGCCGCAAACCGGUCGUGUAAUUUUUAUUAAUUUUUCUUAAUUUUAAAUUGUUGAUUUCCAUAAGAAAUUCUUACCAAAAUAAAAGUUAAACGGUAAACAUUAAACGUCAAAAAAAGUUGAUAAAAAUAUCGCAUCAAAUAACUGCAAAAGAUUUAUGGAAAAAAAAAGAUUUCACUUUGUACAAGUAAAGUAGAAAAAAAAGAAGAAAAAAUUGCGACUUGCGUGGAAGUGGAUUGAAGAAAAUACAUCAGAAAUCUCAGAAAAAUUCCAAAGCGUCAAUGAAACAAUUUAUCAUUUUUAAAGCACCUUUCUAUAUAAAAACGCUUCUAAAAGCAAAAGUCGUACAAAAAUUUCUUAAACAUUACUAUUGAAAACUUGACGUUUUUUUUAGUUGACAUCAUUACUUGUUAAAAAAAUAAAAUAAAAAAAAAAAGUUAAAAAUCAAUGUGUUUACUUCAAGAUGAAUUAAGAGGAAAAAAGUAAUUUUACAGUUUUAUUAGCUUAUAAAUUACGUACACAUACAUGCACAUACACACACAACAAUAGAAAUUAAAGCUUUUUUUAUUUAGUGAAAAAGUUUAUUAGAAGAAGGGGAGAAAAAGAAGAAAAAACGAAAUAUACGUAAAGUUAUUGCCACAACCCGGGGUCUGGCAUUCAACUAACAAACUAUGUGUGCAGAAAAUGCUCAGAAAUGCUGCAAGAAAAUUGAAUAAGAAUAUUAAACAACAACACCGUCUUCCAUACCUAACACGGUCAACUAGCUGCAGUAGCGUAACCGUUAUUAUUAAUUAUAAUAAAAAACUUAGAAACCGGAAAACGAAAAAACAAUUUCAAACAUUCUUAAAAAAUUCAACUGAAAUCAAAUUCAUGAUAUUAAUGCACUGAACGUUAAUUUAACCGAUAAAAUAAUCAAUAGCGUAAGGAAGCAUUUAAACGGCUCGCAGAUUAUCAACAAGGACGACUGUAUUAUAAAGAAUAGUCAUAAAAACUGCGAUAAUAAUAAAAUUUUGUGUGUCUUAUAAUAAAAGAGACGGAGCAAUAAUAAUAAGAGCCUUUUCCCAAUCCCAAGGAAGCCAGUGACCGUCUAACGACUUUAAGAAAGAGAAGAAUUACAAUUGACAACUUUAAUAAUCUAAGAAGAGAAGAGCAACGGAUUCAAUCGCCCCACCACCAUCAACGGCAACAUCAACUACAACGACAAACGGAAAAGCAAUGGGAAUAUCAAGAAAAAUCUUUAAAUAAUGGAAAAGUCGCUAAAACAGUAGGAGCAACAACAAAUAAUAAAAAACUUAACCUUAAAAGAUCAUUUUUUCCCAAUACGAAGCAAGUCAGUGACCGUUUAGCGACUUUAAGAAAGAGAAGAAUUACAAUUGCCCACUUUAAUGACCUAGGAAGAGAAGAGCAACGGCAUCAAUCGCCACAAAUCUGUUCAAAUGAGACGAAAGAAUCUCUAAAUAAUAACAACAAUAGUAAUAACAAUCGCGUAGAACAAAAUUUAAAAAAACCAGGUAAGCAAAGAAGAUGUUACCCCAUCUUUCUCUUUAACUUAAGGAACUUAACAUAACAAUCGUUUCGUUUCACACUGUUCCCCAUAAAGCUGACAAUUUUUGCAUAUUUUAACCCCGUGAAGAUAUUUCCAAAAACCGAUGAUCAACAUGUAGAUCGUUCUGGAACUGAUCGCGGAACGACACGCUGGCAGUUACCAGAUUUUUUCAAAAUAUUUUCACAGGAUCGAAAGUUAUAGAUAAACGGACGAGGUUGGCUCGCUUGCUCAUUUCUGGUGAGCGUGUAUGCAGACAGUAUUCGCAAUCAUAUUUUUAACAUUGAAUUCUUAAUUGAUCAGGGAAAGUGCUUGUACCAACUGUCAGCUUCUUAUCUUUAUUUUUACAGUUGUGGUAAAUCCAACAAAAAAUGGGAUUAAUAUAAUCUAUUUUAAUAGAAAUAGAUGUAUGUCGUUAUCUCGAAA